GUUACUUUCCACCACUGAUAUUAUAAUAGUAAUGUAAUGAUAUUACGUGUAGCAAGACUAAACAUAAAUUCCCAACAUGUUAUCUGUCAGUUGCUCGGGUGCAUUGCUGUCGGCACUGACAGGACACAGAUGUUCUAGCCUACCGUCUCUGGUUCUGGCUGUGACCACGGAAACAGUGACAGGACAGCUCGCUUCAACGCAUCUUAAUUGUAA